CUGCAUAGGUUAUUGUCAAGAAUUGAAUUCAUCAACCAUGAAUGAAGAAGAGGUUGAGCUAUUGUGUUUGAGGGCUUCUGUAACUCAAGAUACAAUUAAAACACCUGUCUUAAUGCUGUUCUACUUGCAAGUCAUUACGAUUGAGAAAAUACAGCAACUUGUUUAUUUUUCAUCAUCAUUUACUGAUAAACAGGGGCCUAAUUUGUUGUCUAUGUGUGUUUUAAACAAGGACCUCUGACAUCAAGUCACACAUAACAGACUCUAUAGUUUAAUGUUAAAUGCACUCAUUGGUCAAUCCACAUCUUUAGGGAGCUCUACCUCAAUGGCAAUGAGCUGCAGUGUGUGGGUGCCACCGAUCUGCUGAAACCUGUGGCUGAAAACAGCCAAAAACUGGCAGAGAUCCAAAACAGGACCACAUCCAUCACAGAUGAAACAGAGUUGAUCUCCCAAAGGAGCAAUACCAAAUCUUCCAGACAAAAGAAAGCAAAGAGCAAAGGGAAGAAGACAAAGAAGAAAAGAGAAAAAACCAAGAGCGAUCAUGGUGCCGCAGGAGGCCCAUGGCUAGAG